GGACUACUAGGGUUUCUAAUCCCGUUUGCUCCCCACGCUUUCGCACCUCAGCGUCAGUCUUAGGCCAGGAAGGCGCCUUCGCCACCGGUGUUCCUCCUGAUAUCUACGCAUUUCACCGCUACACCAGGAAUUCCCCUUCCCCCUCCCGGACUCAAGUCAUCCAGUAUCCAAGGCACUGUUCACGUUGAGCGCUGAACCUUUCACCCCAGACUUAAAUAACCGCCUACGCGCGCUUUACGCCCAGUAACUUCGGACAACGCUCGCCCCCUACGUAUUACCGCGGCUGCUGGCAC
rnacentral:misc_RNA from 1 species